CCCGUGCUGAUGACGCUGGCGGCAUGCCUAACACAUGCAAGUCGAACGGUAACAGGCCUUCGGGCGCUGACGAGUGGCGGACGGGUGAGUAAUACGUAGGAAUCUGCCUUUUAGUGGGGGAUAACCCGGAGAAAUCCGGGCUAAUACCGCAUACGCACUACGGUGGAAAGCAGGGGAUCGUAAGACCUUGCGCUAAUAGAUGAGCCUACGUCGGAUUAGCUUGUUGGUAGGGUAAUGGCCUACCAAGGCGACGAUCCGUAGCUGGCCUGAGAGGACGACCAGCCACACUGGGACUGAGACACGGCCCAGACUCCUACGGGAGGCAGCAGUGGGGAAUAUUGGACAAUUGGGGCAACCCUGAUCCAGCAAUGCCGCGUGUGUGAAGAAGGCCUUCGGGUUGUAAAGCACUUUCAGCAGGGAGGAAAAGCUUCGGGUUAAUACCCCGGAGUCUUGACGUUACCUGCAGAAGAAGCACCGGCUAACUCUGUGCCAGCAGCCGCGGUAAUACAGAGGGUGCAAGCGUUAAUCGGAAUUACUGGGCGUAAAGCGCGCGUAGGUGGUUUGGUAAGUCGGAUGUGAAAUCCCCGGGCUCAACCUGGGAACUGCAUUCGAAACUGCCUGGCUAGAGUUUGAGAGAGGGAAGUGGAAUUCCACAUGUAGCGGUGAAAUGCGUAGAUAUGUGGAGGAACAUCAGUGGCGAAGGCGGCUUCCUGGCUUAAAACUGACACUGUGGCGCGAAAGCGUGGGUAGCAAACAGGAUUA
rnacentral:rRNA from 1 species